rnacentral:rRNA from 2 species
AAGUGGUAGGAGAGCGUUCUAUUUGCGUCGAAGGUAUACCGGUAAGGAGUGCUGGAGCGAAUAGAAGUGAGCAUGCAGGCAUGAGUAGCGAUAAUUAAUGUGAGAAUCAUUAACGCCGUAAACCCAAGGUUUCCUACGCGAUGCUCGUCAUCGUAGGGUUAGUCGGGUCCUAAGUCGAGUCCGAAAGGGGUAGACGAUGGCAAAUUGGUUAAUAUUCCAAUACCAACAUUAGUGUGCGAUGGAAGGACGCUUAGGGCUAAGGGGGCUAGCGGAUGGAAGUGCUAGUCUAAGGUUGUAGGAGGUUAUACAGGCAAAUCCGUAUAACAAUACUCCGAGAACUGAAAGGCUUUUUGAAGUCUUCGGAUGGAUAGAAGAACCCCUGAUGCCGUCGAGCCAAGAAAAGUUUCUAAGUUUAGCUAAUGUUGCCCGUACCGUAAACCGACACAGGUGGGUGGGAUGAGUAUUCUAAGGCGCGUGGAAGAACUCUCUUUAAGGAACUCUGCAAAAUAGCACCGUAUCUUCGGUAUAAGGUGUGGUUAGCUUCGUACUAGGAUUUACUCCGAAAGCGAAGAAACUUACAACAAAGAGUCCCUCCCGACUGUUUACCAAAAACACAGCACUCUGCUAACUCGUAAGAGGAUGUAUAGGGUGUGACGCCUGCCCGGUGCUCGAAGGUUAAUUGAUGGGGUUAGCAUUAGCGAAGCUCUUGAUCGAAGCCCGAGUAAACGGCGGCCGUAACUAUAACGGUCCUAAGGUAGCGAAAUUCCUUGUCGGUUAAAUACCGACCUGCAUGAAUGGCGUAACGAGAUGGGAGCUGUCUCAAAGAGGGAUCCAGUGAAAUUGUAGUGGAGGUGAAAAUUCCUCCUACCCGCGGCAAGACGGAAAGACCCCGUGGACCUUUACUACAGCUUGACACUGCUACUUGGAUAAGAAUGUGCAGGAUAGGUGGGAGGCUUUGAGUAUAUGACGCCAGUUGUAUAUGAGCCAUUGUUGAGAUACCACUCUUUCUUAUUUGGGUAGCUAACCAGCUUGAGUUAUCCUCAAGUGGGACAAUGUCUGGUGGGUAGUUUGACUGGGGCGGUCGCCUCCCAAAUAAUAACGGAGGCUUACAAAGGUUGGCUCAGAACGGUUGGAAAUCGUUCGUAGAGUAUAAAGGUAUAAGCCAGCUUAACUGCAAGACAUACAAGUCAAGCAGAGACGAAAGUCGGUCUUAGUGAUCCGGUGGUUCUGUGUGGAAGGGCCAUCGCUCAAAGGAUAAAAGGUACCCCGGGGAUAACAGGCUGAUCUCCCCCAAGAGCUCACAUCGACGGGGAGGUUUGGCACCUCGAUGUCGGCUCAUCGCAUCCUGGGGCUGGAGCAGGUCCCAAGGGUAUGGCUGUUCGCCAUUUAAAGCGGUACGCGAGCUGGGUUCAGAACGUCGUGAGACAGUUCGGUCCCUAUCUGCCGUGGGCGUAAGAAGAUUGAAGAGAUUUGACCCUAGUACGAGAGGACCGGGUUGAACAAACCACUGGUGUAGCUGUUGUUCUGCCAAGAGCAUCGCAGCGUAGCUAAGUUUGGAAAGGAUAAACGCUGAAAGCAUCUAAGCGUGAAGCCAACUCUAAGAUGAAUCUUCUCUAAGCUCUCUAGAAGACUACUAGUUUGAUAGGCUGGGUGUGUAAUGGAUGAAAGUCCUUUAGCUGACCAGUACUAAUAGAGCGUUUGGCUUAUCUUUAAUAAAGCAU